rnacentral:misc_RNA from 1 species
GACGCAUGCUCGAGCACCCCCAUCGCUGGACGAUACACAUACUACGCCACCUCCGUGACGCUCGCCGAACACGCGCGCGAGAGAACACGAAAUCUUAGCGUCGUAUACACACAGCAUUCCGCUUUUGGCUCAUGUAUUUUCGUUCCCAUCGCUGCUCUCGUCGCUGUUCCUGUGCUGACUAGGGGUGUGCGCGUGCGUGCUGCUGCCAGCGCGUGCAGCGCAUCCUUGUUCGCUCCAGUGACGACAUCAUCUGCUGCGGUGUGGCCCCAUUCUCUCUCCGCGCGCGUGUGCGCACGCCAUGUUGAGCUCCUUAUCCACUCGCACGCGUUCGACAUAGCUUUCUGCGCACGUACACGUGUGCAUAUCCGCACACACCGCUGCACGCCUUUCUCCGCGGUGUGAGAGACUCUGUGUGUGCGUGUGUGUGAGGUAAGAGAGGGCAAGCGCAACACGGUGCCGAGCGUGCGACACAAGUGCCGCUGCCUCCACGUCUCUCUCUUUCUCUCACGCUCUCUGCAACCGCAAUCAUCGUCCCUCUCUCCGCGAGUGUUUCCUCAGUGGAAACGGCAGAACGUCGACAGACACACACACAUAUAUAUAUAUAUCUAUAUAUAUCAGCGUUCUCCCUGCUGCCGCGUGCAUCGCUCUCGCUUUUCGUCGCCUGCUGCCCUGGCGCGUUUCGGCCAUCGCAUAUCUUCAUUGCCGUUGUUGGUGCGCAUCUCGCUCGCCCCACCUCUCGGCGCGUGGACACUCGCGACCCGCACCGCAGCUCGCAGCAUCAUUCAGCUGCGACGCAACAAGCGACAGAGAGACAGAAGACGGAAUUGCAUCACAGUUGACUGCACAGGCGCACCUUCUAAAUCCUUUCUCAUAUCUGCUCACCACGCACACGCACACACAGCUUACCCUUGCCCUUGCCUUGCCUGGGCCACGGCGUGAGGCGGCUCGGUCGACGACAGCCACACACACACACACACACACACACAGCGAGAGAAGGAGCAAACCCCCUCCUCGUUUUUGGAGCCUCGUGACAGUUGACGUACACGGGGGAGGAAGAGAGACGGCGCGCGCGCGUGUGUGUGUGUGCGUGUCUCCGCCCGUACUUCCGAGCUUAAGCGGCGGCCGCUAAGAUGCGAAGAACGGCACCGAAGGCAAGGACCCACCAAAGGACCGAAACACCCGCAAUAAGUCGACAGAGCGACGCAGCACACACCCGGCAGCGGCUUCUCUUGCUCUUCCCUCUCCACCUGCGUUCGCCCUCGUCAUGGCGACGACGGCAUCCAUGGCGUCUGCGUCGCCAGAGUCGUUGAUGUCAGCGCCGGUGACCACGCCCUCCUCCUCGACUCGGCUUCGAACAUACCUUGCCAUAGGCUGCGGCGUGGGGCUGCUUCUCUGCGCCGGUGUCGUGCUGCGGCGCCGCCUCGCCCGUCCGCGGCCACCGCCGCGGGGCCCGUGCCCGAUGGCGGACAACACGAUCGCCCUGCUGCGCGACCUGCACGACGGCCCGUUCCGCUUUGGCGAUCCCACGCCGUUUGCCGUGGCGGCGCGGGCAGAGGCGACGCGGCGUAUUCGGCGCCAGCAGCGGGAGCGCCGACGGCUGCGCCGGCGCAUGCGGCCGCAGCUGUGUCGCGCAAGGAGUUCUCAGCAGUUGCCGUCAUGGCGUGCGGCAGCGACCGCGGCGGCCUCCGCGCCUGUCAGCAACGUCCUCGGAGCCGGCGGCCAGCAGACGUUUUUGCGAACGACGGAGAACGCACCCGCGCCGCAAGACCCGCUGCAACAGGGGCGCGAUGCCCCCGGCAACGAGCUCACGAGCGGCGGUGCAGCAACGGCGACGGCGAAAGAAAGAGAAGGCCGCGCGAAGGCAGAGGCGUCGUCCCAGCGAGAGGGCGCCCUGUUGCCCUCUGCCAACUCCGCCACCUCGUUGUACGCCGUCGACUCUGACGCCGACAACGACGACCCACGCGACAACGACGGCUACGAUGAGGGCGUGUACUCCACCAACGGGCCACUGAUGGCGAGGACCGGCGGGCUCCGUAAGAUGACAUCGAGCGAGGUGUCGCUCAUCUCAUCGACGACGACGAUGAGCAGCUCCUACGACUCGGACUACUCGCGCUCGCCGAGUACCAGCUCCAGAACCACCACCAGCGGCAGCAGCUACUACUCCCGCAUCAUCACCCCAUCACUGAUGCAGUCCACGGGGUCGUCUGCAGACUCGCAGGGUGGCGCGUCGUCGCUACUGGCCAUGACGACCGGCUCUGUGACGAGCCCCGACGGCAUCCCAUGGGUGAAGGCCACGCUCGAUGGUGGCAGCGUCACGUGGGGCGGCCUUCACGGCUCCCACGACGCACCACAGCAAGCGCAGCAACACAGCCAACACCAUAACCACCAGCCACCGCCGAAUGAUCCAGCCGGGAGCUUCAGCAAUAUCGCUCAGAACAUGGUGCCCAUGUCGAUGUCUAACCCACAGUCGUCUUCGUCCCCACACUCUAUGUCCGGCGCGAUGGCUGCCCAAGGGGGCCGCUAUCCGGCCCAACUGCUGUGGUGUGGUGCCUCCUCGCCGGCCCCGAGCAUCCAUGCAUGUGGCGGGACGCCGCGGCCGGGAGCGAACACGACAUCCCCGUGGACCUUCGGUGGUGGUGACGGCGGCGGCGGUGACAGCAGCGGGUCCCCAGAGGUAGCGUACACAGCGACCUUUGCCUCCGUGCCCGGGCCGGCGCCAUCGCUGUUGGCCAGUGGAAGAUGGGGCGGCGUGGCGGAGGACGAGGAGUCGUAUCAGUACACAGCGCCCGCCCUCAUGUACGGGCCGCCGCUGUUCGCAACGGAGAUGGAUGUCACGGAUGCACUGGCGGAGCUGCGCAGCUCGGUGUGCUGCAGCGGGGACCGGCAAGGCAGCAGCUGUCUUGCCGGCGGUGCCUCCAGCACAAUAAACACCACCCCCUCUCCCUUCAUGAACUCCAGCGUCACCGGCAGCGGCAGCGCCAUCAUGGCGCGCAUAAACUCCUCGAACAACGCCACCUCCCUCCAUCAGCAGCAACUAGGGAUGUCGUUGUCCUCGGUGCACUACCGCUCUCAGCAGCAGCACCAGAGCACUCACCAGCACACUUGGAGCCACCCGCGAAGUCAGGGCUACUUCUCAGGCACGUCAAUGAGCACAGCCAGCGCAAGCGUUGCGUUCCCCACGUACGCUCGGCACACGGCGCACUACCCGGGCGGUGGCAGUGGCAGUAGUAGUGGCAAGCCGCCGAAGCAUCAACACCAUCACCAUCGCAGUAGCAGCGGCUACCAUCGCGUAUCUUCUCGCACCAGCGUUCGACGUAGCGCGAACUGGUCGCCUGCGAGCUCGCAGUGGCUACCUGAGACGUUAUCGACCGUGCAACCUGUCUACGGCUACGACAGCGCGCCUCGCGGUUGGGGCAGCGGCGGCAGCGAGGUUGCCACAGGCGAGAGCACGGCCAGCGGCGGGAACGGCUCCUUCACCCACGCCCCCACCGAAACCCCCAUUUCGCAAGCUUCGUCGGCUCUGCGCCGCUUCAUGACGACUGGUGGCCGCGCGCAUCAUACAUCAGCGCACGGUAACAUCAACGGCAAUGCCCACCGUUCCUUCCGCUCCGUGAACUCGACGCUGCGCCACCUCUGCCAGCGCGGACGGCACUGCUGUAGCGGGCGGCUGCGCCGGUGCUGGCGCCGGUGCCGGCGACUGGUGCGUCGUCGCGUCAUCGCCAGCUGCGCCGUAGCCCAGCUGUUGGUGAUGCGCAUAUUGUGUGCGGUGCGGCGCGGUUCGAGUGUGCUCGGCGGAGCCUGCGCGAGGGGGUGGCGUUGGGUCAUCCGCCAGUGGCGGGAGAGCGCCUGCGCUGCGUCUGGCAAGGUGUUGGCGUGGCUGCGUCGAACACGAUGGUCAUUAUUGAAGACUGGCGCGAUGGCAGCCGACGAGACAAGUUGCACUGUGGCUACUUCUGUGCCAUCGAGUGAAGCAGCCAAGCGACAUCCAGGGCACACUUCCACGGUUGUCGACACUGCGGCGGAAGCGGCGGCGGAGGCCAAGCGUGGCGGUCUUCUGAUGACGGACACGGCCGACGAGGCUAUUAACAAGAUCGUGCAGCUGCUAGAGCCAACACCUGGGCGUGUGCCAACGGUCGUGGUCAUUCGUGCCCCGCUCGGCUACGACGUGUCGACUGAUGCGGCGAGUCUCUGGAAGGCGCUCCACCUCGACAGCACCUCAUCCGAAGAGGGCCUUAUCGACAUCAUCAUCAUGGAGGAGCUCAAGACGGGACCAUUGCCACCAGCGCAGGCCAGGGCAGCAGCCGCGGCUACAGGGACCUCAUCACAGGUGGUCAGCUUCCCUGCGAACCCGGCGGCGCCGCCGCUGAUGCCGCCGUACACCGGCACAUCCGACGGUGAGAGGACGACAACGACUGCGGCACCAGCGAAACCGCCGACGUCACCGCUACAGCGGAGGCGGCCACCGCCGGAGCCGUCUAAAGCAUCCGCUGCUGCUGCUGCCACGACGCCGGCAAGGGCACAGACCCAGCUGCGCAUCUCCUUCGAGAUCUAUCCAGCACACUUGUUUUACUCGUUGAUCUUCCGCGCGGCGGUGCUGCAAGAGAAGGACUGGGCGCUGCGACGCGCGGCUGCGGAGCUCUUCGGCGGCUCCGCUGAGAGCGAUGGCAGCGGCAAAGGUCUCGGCGUCAGCGCAGGAGCCAACGCCAGCGCCGGCGGCGGUGUCAGUGUCACACCGGGGUCGCCUCUGUCACUCGCGCGCGCGCUGUCCUUCACCUUCGGCGUCCAGGCGCCGGCGGGAGACUGCGGCAACAACAACAACGCGAUGGACCCCUUCAGCCACCACCCACACCACGUCACGGCCGCCGUGGGGGGCAGUGCCACCGGCUUGGAAAACUACUGCCUCUCUCCGCUGUCGCCGGGGCAUUUCUGCCGAAUGCCGGUCUCCCCGAAGCUGACGGCGCCGUCGCCGCACGUAGGCCUCAGUGGCGGUGGUGGUGCUGCGGCUGCGGCGGCCGGCGUCGGAGUUGCCAAUGCGUCCCCUGGGACGGCGUGUGGCACUGUUGCGUCUCCUGUGACCUUGCCAGCGUCUGCGUUCUCCUCCGUGGCGGUGACGACAUCGCCCCAGGUCGUGGUGCGCCUCUCUGAGAGCUACAGCUUCCCAGCUCAGCCGCCGCAGAUGGUGAUGUCACCGCCGCUUGGGACGCAGCCCGGGUUCAAGGCGCCGCUCGGUGCGCUGCCGGCGGACUCGCGCUGCUCCGCAUACGGCGGGGGCGGCAGCGCAUUCUCUGGUGCUGGCGCUGCCGGUGGCGCCAGCGGCAUUGGUGUGCUGCCGUCCGGUUCCGCAGGUCGCAUAAUCUCCGACAACGAACUUCUUUUCUACAUCCACGUACUGCGCACGGCUGUCGGUGACGGCGUCAACACCACGGCGCUGCCGUCGAGCAGGGCCUCGGAGGUGGACGACGACGACGCGGAUGCGAAUAGUGCGGGCCCGAAGGCAGCAGGCGUGCAGCGGGACGGCGCAGAUCCCGGGAAGCAAAGCCCGCGGACGCCGAGUGGCAUCAGCGACGCGGCCCUUGUCAGCCGCGAGGGGCCGGACGCUGUGGAGGACAACGACGAUGACAGCGAGGACCUCACCUUGCUGGACCUGCGACAGCGCGAGAUCGAGCCACAGGUGCUGCUACGCUAUCGUUUUCGUGUUUUCCAGCAGGGCUGUCGCUCCCGCAAGGCUCUCGACGCCGUCGUACUGUACACGCAGGACCACGUGGAGCCGUGGUACGAGGAAGCGAAAGCGAUGCUGCAGGCUCUGCCGGCCACGGAGAGCUGCCAGGCCCUCUCCUCGCUCUCCACGCCGUCGCUGCGUGUGAACGGGAGCAGCCCCGCACUGCGGCCGUCCGACAGCGUGGGGCGGAUGACGUCGCUGGGCGGGGGUGGCGAGGCGACGACAGGCGUUGCUUCAGGCCGCCCGCAGCGUCGCUCCUGUCCGCGCCCGGCGGGACUGCCGCUGCUUUCUAUCGGCACCGUGGCGCUGGCGAGCACGCCGGAGCUCGACCAGGUGGACUGCCGCCCCACUGUGGCGAACAGUGGCCCGCUGCAGCUGCCGGCGUGGGCGAUGGAGGUGCUCAUCCGACGCGAGAGCAUGCGCGAGACGCUUGUGCGCGACCUGAAGGAAAAGGCCUUUCGCGUGUGUGCCGUUCCACUUCCGGACAUGCGGGUGCAUCGCAUCCUGCCACCAGCAGUGCCGCGCUACGUCACCGCACACGCGCGCGGCUUCCCUCUCAGUCGCACCUUUGCCGAGGAGGUCCUCUCGCAGCAGCGUGCGCUGCAGUUCAUUCUGCUGCAGAGGGAGCAGGAAAACCAACGCGCCAUCGCAGCGCGCAUCCGCCAGGAGCAGCGCCGGCAGGAGCGCCGGGAUCGGAAGCGACGAGAGCGCCGCGCUCGCGAGGAGGCGUCUCGGCGGGCGCAGCAAGGGCGGCAGCAACAGAAGCGGAGCCUGAACUCCCGGAGGCGCGAGUCGGGCGACGGCGACAGUUUGAAAAAGCGUCUGACUGGGGCCCUGAACCCGGCAACCGUCGUGUCGCGCGCCGUGUCCAUGGUGAAGCGUUUCAGCGUGGGGAGCGCCGGCCGCGACUUUGGCCACCUGUUUGUGCGCGUGCUACCUCUACGUAGCGACAGCGUGCGCAAGACGCGCACAAGCGCCAACGCAGCUUAUCGGCAAGAGUCACGAGCGCCAGCGCCGCUUGGUGAGCCAGACGUGCCGAAGACCUCGCCACCGUCACUGCCGCCGCCGCCGUACCGACACGGCUACCCGGCUGCCAGCGGCGGCUUCUACAGCGCCUCCUCGCCAACUCGGCGGCAGAGCACCGCACCAGAGGGCAACGCGCGAGUUGGUGGCGUUCUCUCCCAAGGCGAAAGCGACCGCGCUGGCUACGGUGCGGCGGAGUGCAGGGACGCCACCAGUGCUGCCGCACCCACCGUCGGCAAUGCUAGGCAACACCAGCGCUCGACCGAUGAGCCGAGCAGCGCCUCGCAGGUGUACGCGGUGCAGCCGCCGCGCGGACUCCAGGGCAUGCGCGACCCCCCUACCGCCGCCGUCUCCGCGACGUCGGUGCAGUCCUCGCCGACGCUGACGGAGGUGGACAUACACGUCCUCGGUGGCAGCUCCGGCAGCGUCUCCGUUGAAGUCUCCGCUGAUGUUUCGCUGACGGCGAAUGCGACGGGUGUGAGCGCCCUGUCCUGCGCCGCGGACGCGGCACCGCGCUCGAGCGAGCGUGGUGCGGGCGGCGACACAGGCGGCAGCGGCCGAGGACGCGCGCCUGCCUCAGCUGGAGCGCCGAGUCCUUCGCCGACAUCACCGACGCCGUACACCGCCACGUCACCGAUCAUGCUGCUGGCGGUGCCGCAGAGCUUAUCGGGGUCGCCGCCACCGCAACCGCACUCACCAGCCUCGGCGAACGGCAGCCUGGGCAGCCCACCGCCGCAGUCGCAAUCCUGUCAAGGCGACCACAGUGGUGGCGGAGGCAGCAGCAGCGCACCCAAGCCAGUUUCACUGGCGUCUGCAAGCUCCACCCGCAGCUCCCACUGGACUGCUGUGCACACGGCAACCAAUGCAAACACUUGCGUAACGCCGCCGCCACCCCCCGCAACCGCCUCCGCUGCGGGCAGCCCCGCGGUGCAGGUCAGCAGUAGCGGUAGCAACGGUGGCUGCGCCGCCAACGCUGUUGGCCACGGCCACGCUCAGAUGACGCCUGCCUCCGUCAGCGGCGCUCUGCAGAACCACUUUGGUUCGUCGCCGGCGUCGACCGCGACGACCUCGUCAUCGGUGAGUGGGGCCAGCAACACUACGCCAGGCUUCAGCGGCACGGGCGCGGCCGGCUUCCACUCUGGCACCACUUCGAUGUCGGAGCGCGGCUUUCCGUUGAUGUCACUGCCGCCACCCCCACUACCACUGCCCGCGCUCAGCUCAUCUUCUCCUCUCGCGCUUGGCGCGGGCACCAUUCCGUCCUCGUGCGUGCUCUCCGUGCCAGACGCACCGACCGCCACACUUAUGACCACCCGCGAUGCGAGCCUCGACGUCUCAGCGGGCGGUCAUCGUCACCAUCAGGACACGACUGUACUGUUGCUGCUGCCGCAACAGCCAUCGAACACCAGUCAGCCGCAGCGGUCGGUGCAGAACCCGGCGUCACCUGUCCCCGCCACUUCGCCGUUCAACGCGGAAGGUGCCACGCACCUCACCGUGAGCGGCGGUACUGCGCAGAAUCACAUGAGCAGCCGCAGCAACUACUCGUUCCAGCUGCCCGACGAUGAUGGAGUGCCGGCCGCCUCGAUGACGCCCAUGCCGCUUGCAGUGCCCAACAACAGCAUGUACGGCACCUUUGACGCGUAUUACGGCCACAGCGUCGUGACACCGCAGGCAGUGCUGCUGCGCCAGCAGGCCCAGGUGGCGGCGGCGGCCUCCGUCGCACCCUUGUCGGCCAUGCGAGCGCUGACCUCACCGCGGCACCGGGCAACCGCCAACACUGCAGCGCCGCUGUCAGCAACCGUGACACUGGCGGCGGAGAGAGACACUCGAAAGGGUGAGCUGCACAACGGCGGAUGCGCCGGUGAUCUCGAUGUCCGAGGCCCCGCUGGUAUUCUCAGCAGCGCCACGUCGACACCAGCUGCAGGGGCUGCCGCCGCUGCUGCUGCUGCUGCUGGAGGCAAUGCGCAGCAGUUGCCACCGCCGCCGCCGCAUUUGCAGGCUCCACGCAGCGGGCCGCGGCGAACCAGCUCUGGCCUGCUGCCGUACACGUACUCGGCCGACUCCGUGAGCAGCAUGUAUGGCACGACGCACUAUCCUCUCUACCAGUACCCGGACGACUCGAACGGCGCAGCAGCAGCGGCGUACACGGGAGUCUCGCCGCCUACGUCAUCGAUGCCCGGCGCGGCAGUGAUGGGUGGUGGCAGCAGCGCCACAACGGCCGCACUAGCUGGGUCCGCCCACGCCGGUGCCUCGAUGGUUUACACGUACAAAUCUUCGGGCUGUAGCAGCAGCCACGUCCUCGGGGUGAGCGCCACCGGCGUCACGCAGGUCUACACGUCUCCGGGCAACUCAGCCGCACUCUUCGGCAUCGGUGGGGCUGGUCGCCCCGAGAACUGGAGUUCUCACUCGCAAUCGCCGCGCGUGCCGGACUCGCCGAUGGACGUGAACGCCAGCGCCAUCGCCCCUCUGUCGCUGCCGCUUGCGCAGGAUACGCACAUGAACCGCCUGAAGCAGUACAACAAGCUUCUAUCCGACCUCCUCGGCGUCGCCGGCGGCCCGAUGCGCAGCGGCAUCUCCUUCUACUACACCUACGGCGAUGCCACGGCGCUGCUGUACAACGCGUCCAUCCGGGCUCCCUGUGACGAGAACAUUCUCGAGCUGCUAGACCGUCAGCAAUGGGAGAAACAGCAGGAGCUUCGGCAGCUGCCACGCACCGACGGCGGCAGCGGCGGCGCUUUCUCCGACUCUGGGGGUGCGUCAGACAGCAGCACGUCGGUCGGCGAUAAGAUACCGAUGCACACCAGCAGCGGAUCCUACUCCCUGUCCAGCUCAGCGACAGACAACACUGGGGCCUGCCGGGUUCCAGUCACCUUAGCCGGCAUUGGCGCAUCUCCUCCAGCUGCAGCGCAGCCUGCGCCUCAACUGCAGGCCACGCUCCACGGCAGCGGCAGCGCAGCUGUAGGAGACGCGAAUGCCGCUGGUCAAGGGGUGCGCAACGCUCGAGAAGACUCCUCCGCCGCCCGCGCCGCCGCUGCCGCGGCAACCGAAGAUGAGGGCUGCUCGUAUCUUGAGUACGGCGGUCUUGCCGGGUUGCAGGACACGAUGGACGCUCUGGAGUCCGAGCAGAUCGAGGCGCAGCGGGCACGCAACACGCGCUUUUACUCCAUCUUUGAGCACCUCCAUCACGCCUACCACGACACUGUGCUGGAGGCAAUCGGCAGCGGCAGUGCCCAGCCUGCCGGGCUCAGCCCCGUCACGGCCGCGACCGGCUCCCUCUACGCGGAGCUCACCGGAGGGGUCGGCACAGAGUACUUCUUCCCUUCCGCCGCGUCUGCCGCGGGCGCGGCGGGUGCGGAGCGGCACGCUGCGUCUCCACACUGCGUCGGCCACGCCACCGCGCCAGGAUCGGUUACCCCUCCACCUGGCCUGGUGUGCGGCGGGGCGGGUGCGGCAGACACGGUGGGCCUGCCGCGCUGGCGGCGGCGGUUAUGGAGCCGCGUGUGCGCGCUUGUGGCAUGGGUGGGCUCCCUCGUGGGCCUCGGGUGCAAGCCGCGCGGCGACUCGGCCGCUGUGGGAGCGCACACUGCGGGUGGCGCCACCGAUAGUGGUGUGGGGAUGCCUUGGCGCUCGUCGCAGCUCGCCCCAGACGGCGCGAAGUGUGGCUUCGAUCCAGCCAAACUCGCCGAGUACUUCCCGGGCGAGCGCAUCGUGACGUUUGGCGACGAGUGGUGCAUCGCCUCGCGGCUGGACAUGCACAACGGACACUUCGGCCUCUCGCCUCUGCAGGUGUGGAUGGCCACGCGCUACUCGCGCCGCUUCGCAGGCGAGGUGUACCUGAUGGACGUGAUCGCAGCCGGCGGCGACCCGUACUACCCAGCUGUCCGUGUCUUGGAUGAGAUCGUCGCGCAUGCCGUGCUCUACUACCACAACCACAGCCUGCGGGACUUUGUGGAGGAUCUGGAGGCGGAGCUGGGGCUCGUGUAUGUGCCACAGACGCUCUGGGGCAGGCGCGCGCUGGGGCUCCCAGAUGACGAUGCCGAGGUGCAAGAGCUGGAAGGGCUGCUGUACACUGCCACCCGACGUCGGCAAGACCGCCGCCGCCGGCAACGCGCUCAGGAAAAGUAUCGGCAGCGCCGCCGCUGUAGCGACGGUGCAGGGGGCGGCUUCGAGAAGGGCCGCGCUGCGGUGUCCCAAAUUCCACUGCCUACCACGGCGGGCGCCUCACGCUCGGCCGCCGCUGACAGGCACUGCCACACGGAUGGGGCACCGGCGCCGCCGCCGCCACCGUUUCCUUCGCUUGCGGCCGACGCGGCUCGUGAGGGUGAGAGGCAGGGAGGUCCGACGGCGGGCAGCCGCCGCGACCGAUACCGCUCUUCCAGCCCCCAAGCUCCGACGAUCAGCGGCACAGCUACUCGGGGCAGCGUCGGAGGCGCCAGCAUUGCCUGCCCGCUACUGCCGAGCCCGGUGAGCAACCGUGACGACCUACCGUCUGUCGCGGCGAUCGCGGCAACAGCGCCAGCAAACCUCCCCCCACCGCUCCAGCAGCAUCACCGUCCUCGGCGCCACGAUAAUGACCGCCUCGAGGAUGAAGAGAUGGCCGAGUACACCUGGAUCCAACUGCAGGGCAAGGACCAGGAGGAAGACGAGGAGGUCUUCUACGGCGCAACGGCCGCCGCCGCCGCGGGACUUGGUGGUGGCGACAUCAACAUCGCGCCCCACGUGUACGACGCGGUGAUGGAGCGCGAGGUAUAUGACGAGCGCAUGCUGCUGCGCGAGCUGGACCACUUGAAGGAGUUUCUCGUUGACAACCGCAACGUCCUGUCGUCCGCGAUGCUCACCACGGCUGGCUCAAACUCGCUCGAGGCCGUCUUUGGUGUCCCGGCGACGGUGUUCCCGUUUCUGCUGUGCGCGCGCGAGAGCGUGCCAUUUGUAGCCUCCAUCUUCGAGUCCCUCUCUUACCACUACGGCCCACUCACCUACGACAACUUCUCCAAGUACACCUACGAUGUCUACCACCGUGACCGGCCCGACGUGCUGCGCCACACUCCGCGCAUGUUCCGCAUGGUCAACAAGAGCCGCCGCGGCUGCAUCACUUACGAGGAGCUGUGCCGAUGGAUGGCGCGGAAGCUGAGCUGCGGCAACAAUGUUCAGCCGAACGGGCACCUGCUGGCGACGAGUAUGUCGCUGCGGCUGCCGCUCGCCCUGGUGGCCGAGUCUCGCGACGAGUGGGACGCGUACCGUUGCGUACUCAAGUCGCUCUCCGACGGCGAUGACGAGGAGUACUGAGGGUUGUCGAUGACGACGAGGUGCAUUACACAUAUCGCUGGGCUGAGGUGUGUGUGCGUGUGUAUGUAUGUGCAUGGGUGUAUGUGUGCUAGUCGCGGUGGUUGGGCUUAGUGGAGCGAUGACCACGGUCGCGCUCGGUUUCUCUGAUGUUAUUAGCGUGCGCCCACCUGCGCGUUUUAGGUACGCGGGGGUAGCCCUUUCCGUCGACGGCGUGAUGGAGAGAAUGGCUGACCAUGAGGACGAUGAUAGGCGAUGCGCCAGCGCGUGCUUGCGCAUUUUCGUUUUUCAUCUUGAUUCAGAGCUAAGUAGUAGCAUACCACGCAAGAGUAAUCAUGUAGCAUGCAUGUAGGUGCACGAGUAGGCACUCUCUGUCUCUGUCCGGCAUCCAUGAUGCUCUUCGGCCGCGUGCGUGCGACGCCUCUGUGUGAGUGCACGUGCGCAUGUGUGAGAGCUGUCCAGGCCUUUCCUCUGCCUACUCGUCCCACGCUCAGACAGGCACAGAGGAAUGGAAAAGAAGACAAGGACGCAACGCCAGCCGCAUCGACAGCGCGCACGUGUUUGCGGUGUGUUGUGCGUCGAUGAUCAAGCGGCCAAGCGUCCAGCUUCACGCGAGGAGGACUGCAUCGCUGCUCCUGUGCGCGUGCGUGCCCGCGUCAAUGCACGUUCGACUCUUUCCCAGGUUGGAUACCCCUCCCCCCCCCAAGCUGCAGACGACCCUCACCCUCUUGAGGCUUGCACCCAGGCCCAUCAGCCUAUCGCUUUCUGACUUCUGUAGUGCAUCCCACCCCUGCAUCCUCCUCUCUCACACACGCGCACGUGCGCAUGCUUGAAG